rnacentral:rRNA from 1 species
UACGGAGGGUGCAAGCGUUAUCCGGAUUUACUGGGUUUAAAGGGUGCGUAGGUGGAUAAUUAAGUCAGUGGUGAAAUCUUCAGGCUUAACCUGGAAACUGCCAUUGAUACUAUUUAUCUUGAAUACUUUGGAGGUAAGCGGAAUAUGUCAUGUAGCGGUGAAAUGCUUAGAUAUGACAUAGAACACCAAUUGCGAAGGCAGCUUUAC